rnacentral:rRNA from 1 species
CCCUUAGAUGUUCUGGGCCGCGCGCGCGCUACACUGACGAAUGCAACGAGCUUAUAACCUUGGCCGAAAGGUCUGGGUAAUCUCCAAAUUUCGUCGUGAUGGGGAUAGAUUAUUGCAAUUAUUAAUCUUCAACGAGGAAUGCCUAGUAAGCGCAAGUCAUCAGCUUGCGUUGAUUACGUCCCUGCCCUUUGUACACACCGCCCGUCGCUCCUACCGAUUGAAUGGUCCGGUGAAGCGUUCGGACCGUGGCCUUUGGACGGUUCGCCGUCUGUUGGCUGCGGGAAGUUCGUUAAACCUUNUNAUUUAUNGGAAGGAGAANUCGUANCA